GAAAAAUUCUCAUUCUUGCCUCUGUUUUCUUUUUCCUUUUUUAGUUUCAAAAUCAUUCCCUUUUUUUCAAACACCGACCCUUGGGUUUCUUAGCCUCCAGUGCACCGCCGCUGCAGCCAUGAAGACCGGUGGCCGACGAUGGAGGAAAAGAGGUCAAAGACCUCGGCCUUAGAAUACCCCGAGGGCUGAACCCUUCAACCUUAAAAAAGAAAAGAGGAAGAUUCUCAGCACCCUCUAGAUCCGGCGGUCGCAAAGGAGGAGAACCCUCCGUGAGCCGAAUCCCGGCGCUUCCUCGGUAAGUCCCCUCUUCCCUUUUUAUUUUCACGUUUUCUUUGUAAAAAUUUCGUAAAAAAUGCGUAGAUAAAUAAAUGAAAUAAAUAAAUGAUAGAUGAUAAGAAACGGAAAUCAGAAAAAACUAAAGAAAAUAAUCAGAUUUCUAUCAACCUUUUAGAAUCUCAGUUCUGUAUUUCUUGAUUCACUGAUGUGUGUUCGUAAAAAAAAA
rnacentral:lncRNA from 1 species